rnacentral:rRNA from 1 species
AAGUAGUGGCGAGCGAACGCGGAAGAGGCCAAACCGAGAGUAGUAAUACUUUCGGGGUUCGGACAGAAAACGGUAUUGUAAAGGUUUAGUGGAAUGGAAUGGGAAGUCCAACCGAAGAAGGUGAGAGUCCUGUACACGAAAAGCCUGAGCAGCCAUCUGUAUCCAGAGUACCGCCGGACACGUGAAACCCGGUGGGAAUACGGGGGGACCAUCCUCCAAGCCUAAAUACUACUCGGUGACCGAUAGUGAAGAAGUACUGUGAAGGAAAGGUGAAAAGUACCCCUGACGGGGAGUGAAAAAGAACCUGAAACCUUGUGUUUACAAGCACCGAAAGCUCAUCAAAGAGCGAUCGGGUACCUUUUGUAGAAUGGUCCGGCGAGUGAAUGUAACCGGCGAGGUUAAGCACUUAAGGUGUGAAGCCGCAGCGAGAGCAAGUCUGAAUAGGGCGUAUGAAGUCGGUUGUAUUCGACCCGAAACCGGGUGACCUACCCAUGGUCAGGUUGAAGUAAAGGUAAAACUUUAUGGAGGACCGAACCGACUCCCGUUGAAAUGGUAGCGGAUGAACUGUGGGUAGCGGAGAAAUUCCAAUCGAACCCGGAGAUAGCUGGUUCUCUCCGAAAUAGCUUUAGGGCUAGCCUUGAAAUAGAUUACCGGAGGUAAAGCACUGAAUUGGCUAGGGGCCGAGAGGUUACUGAACCUUAUCAAACUAAGAAUGCCGGAUAAUCGUUUUUCAGGAGUCAGACAGUGGGAGAUAAGUUUCAUUGUCAAAAGGGAAACAGCCCAGACCCACAGCUAAGGUCCCCAAGUAUAGUUAAGUGGAAAAGGAUGUGGAAUUGCACAGACAACCAGGAUGUUGGCUUAGAAGCAGCCACUCAUUAAAAGAGUGCGUAAUAGCUCACUGGUCGAGUGACUCUGCGCCGAAAAUUUAACGGGGCUAAACUAUACACCGAAGCUUGGGAUACAUCUAAUGUAUGGUAGGAGAGCGUUCUGUAUGGGGAGAAGUCGUAGCGAAAGCGGCGGUGGACUAUACAGAAGUGAGAAUGCCGGAAUAAGUAGCGAGAAUUAAGUGAGAAUCUUAAUGGCCGAAAGUCUAAGGUUUUUGGAGGAAGGUUCGUCCGCUCCAAGUAAGUCGGGAGCUAAGGUCAGGCCGAAAGGCGUAGCCGAUGCACAUACGGUUGAUAUUCCGUAACCAUCUGUAAUUUAAGCAAAGGGACACUUCAAAAGGGUGUGACCCGGGCGUUGGUUGACCCGGGCGUAAGGGACCGAAAUUAGAGUAGGGAAGCACACUUAGCUGAAGGCGAGAAAAGCUUUGCGUAUAGAAACAGAUGCCCGUACCGCAAACCGACACAGGUGGACAGGAAGAGAAUUCUAAGGCCAGCGGGAGAAGGGUAGUUAAGGAACUCGGCAAAUUGACUCCGUAACUUCGGAAUAAGGAGUGCUCGAAAGAGCCGCAGAGAAUAGGCCCAGGCGACUGUUUAGCAAAAACACAGGUCUCUGCCAAAUCGAAAGAUGAAGUAUAGGGGCUGACACCUGCCCGGUGCCGGAAGGUUAAGAGGAGGAGUGAGAGCUCCGAAUUGAAGCCCCGGUAAACGGCGGCCGUAACUAUAACGGUCCUAAGGUAGCGAAAUUCCUUGUCGGGUAAGUUCCGACCCGCACGAAUGGUGUAACGAUCUGGGCACUGUCUCAACUACCCACCCGGCGAAAUUGUAGUACCGGUGAAGAUGCCGGUUACCUGCGGCAAGACGGAAAGACCCCAUGGAGCUUUACUGUAGCCUGAUAUUGGGUUUCGGAAAUCUAUGUACAGGAUAGGCGGGAGACUUGGAAACAUGAGCGUCAGCUUGUGUGGAGUCGAUGUUGGGAUACCGCCCUUAGGUUUCUGGAAUUCUAACCUGCGGCCGUGAAUCCGGUCGGGGGACAUUGUCAGGUGGGCAGUUUGACUGGGGCGGUCGCCUCCGAAAAAGUAACGGAGGCGCUCAAAGGUUAGCUCAGCACGGACGGAAACCGUGCCUCUGAGUGUAAACGCAAAAGCUAGCCUAACUGCGAGGGUGACGGCCCGAGCAGUAACGAAAGUUGGAGUUAGUGAUCCGGCGGUAUGUGAAUGGAAAUGCC